UUUUAUGAGUAUAGCAACACCACCAUACCCAUCUGAUCUAUCUUCUCGAAUGCAUGAAUAACCAGGAAUUCGAAAACAAAAUCCCGGUCUAAGCCAUGUCUCACUUAAAACUACUAAACUAGGGCUAUAUUUGUUUAAUAAAUAAAUUAAAUCUGAUUUAUUUUGAAUUGCACUUCGGCAAUUCCAUUGUAGGAUGUUGUUCAAGUGAGCCAUUGUUACUGAUUAAUUGUGUUAUCUUUUUAAAUAAUGGGGCAACGUAGGACGGUAAAGUGGUUUGUGACAAUGAUUCAAUUAGAAAAAUAACUAAAUCAAUCAAAGGCUGAGACUCUAACGAAGAAGAGUUGAGAUCGUCUGCUUUGGAAGGGAGAGCACAUCCAUUGGAAUAAGAAUGCGAGUUGUAGUCACUCACUAGAGCUUGAUGAGCUGCGCGGUCAUACCCUUUUCCUGGCUUCAGAGGAGGACGGGGCUUCUGGAAAACAGUUUUCUUAUAAGAUUUGUUAUGUGGUGAUUGAGUAAAUGGAUAUUUAAAAUCUUCAGUUCCCGCAUUAAGAGAAGAUUUUACAAAUUCUAUGCAGACGUGCCCGUUUUCUUUUAUUUACAUUGGAUGUUGAACAAUCAGUAUCCAUACUAGAGGCAGUAUCUACAGUUAUGAACUGUGAAGGUUCAGGAACAACACCCCCAGGGUCUGGGGGCUCCUUCAUCCUGCUCAUAAUAUAUUAAAUUUUAUUAAAAAAAAAAAACUUACCAAUA